CUCACGUGUAAUAAAUGACUCAUUUAUCCUUUUUCUCAACUGAGGUCCCUUUCCUUCAUUUUCUUCUGUAAAUACAGAACAAAAAUAUUCAUUGAGGCAGUCAGCCUGACCUUUAUCCUCUUCUGCAUACCUUCCUUCUUUUGUUUUUAAUCUAACUAAUCCUUGUUUUACUUUUCUUUUCUCAUUUAUGUAUCUAAAAAAAGUUUU